GGGGCUAUAGCUCAGUGGUAGAGCGUCUCGUUUGCAUAUUUAAAAGGUGUGAAAUUUCGAGAAGGUCUGGGGUUCAAUCCCCCAUGGCUCCA